GAUGAACGCUGGCGGCGUGCUUAACACAUGCAAGUCGAACGGAAAGGCCCAAGCUUGCUUGGGUACUCGAGUGGCGAACGGGUGAGUAACACGUGGGUGAUCUGCCCUGCACUUCGGGAUAAGUCUGGGAAACUGGGUCUAAUACCGGAUAGGACCACAUUUUGGAUGGUGUGGUGGAAAGUUUUUCGGUGUGGGAUGAGCUCGCGGCCUAUCAGCUUGUUGGUGGGGUAAUGGCCUACCAAGGCGUCGACGGGUAGCCGGCCUGAGAGGGUGUACGGCCACAUUUGGACUGAGAUACGGCCCAGACGCCUACGGGAGGCAGGAGUGGGGAAUAUUGCACAAUGGGCGCAAGCCUGAUGCAGCGACGCCGCGUGGGGGAUGACGGCCUUCGGGUUGUAAACUCCUUUCGCUAGGGACGAAGCGUUAUGUGACGGUACCUGGAGAAGAAGCACCGGCUAACUACGUA
rnacentral:rRNA from 1 species